GCGGGUAGAGCGCUCGCUUAGCAUGCGAGAGGGCUGGGGUUCGAUUCCCCAUACCUCCA
rnacentral:tRNA from 1 species